GACGAACGCUGGCGGCGUGCUUAACACAUGCAAGUCGAACGGAAAGGCCCUGCUUUUGUGGGGUGCUCGAGUGGCGAACGGGUGAGUAACACGUGAGUAACCUGCCCUUGACUUUGUGAUAACAUCACGAAACUGGGGCUAAUACCGGAUAGGAGCUCCUGCUGCAUGGUGGGGGUUGGAAAGUUUCGGCGGUUGUGGAUGGUCUCGCGGCUUAUCAGCUUGUUGGUGGGGUAGUGGUGUACCAAGGCUUUGACGGGUAGCCGGCCUGGGAGGGGGGCCGGCGACAUUGGGACUGAGAUAGGGACCAGACUGCUACGGGAGGCAGCAGUGGGGAAUAUUGCAGAAUGGGCGGAAGUCUGAGGUAGAGGCGCCGGGUGCGGAAUGACGGCUUUCGGGUUGUAAACCGCUUUCGAAGGUGACGUAGCGGGAGUGACGGUAAUGGGUAAAGAAGCACCGGCUAACUACGUG
rnacentral:rRNA from 1 species